rnacentral:rRNA from 1 species
GACGAACGCUGGCGGCGUGCUUAACACAUGCAAGUCGAGCGGUAAGGCCCUUUCGGGGGUACACGAGCGGCGAACGGGUGAGUAACACGUGGGUGACCUGCCCUCAGCUCUGGGAUAAGCCCGGGAAACUGGGUCUAAUACCGGAUAUGACUUCAUGACGCAUGUUGUGGAGUGGAAAGCCUUGUGCGGCUGAGGAUGGGCCCGCGGCCUAUCAGCUUGUUGGGGGGUGAUGGCCUACCAAGGCGACGACGGGUAGCCGGCCUGAGAGGGCGACCGGCCACACUGGGACUGAGAUACGGCCCAGACUCCUACGGGAGGCAGCAGUGGGGAAUCUUGCGCAAUGGGCGAAAGCCUGACGCAGCGACGCCGCGUGAGGGAUGACGG